rnacentral:rRNA from 1 species
GACGAACGCUGGCGGCGUGCCUAACACAUGCAAGUCAAGGGACCUUCGGGUCACUGGCGCACGGGUGAGUAACGCGUAGGUAAUCUACCCUUAACCGGGACAUAACGACGGGAAACUGUCGCUAAUAUCCCAUGAGGCCUCCGGGUCAAAGCUUCGACGGUAUGGGAUGGGCCUGCGUCUGAUUAGCUAGUUGGUAGGGUAAUGGCCUACCAAGGCAACGAUCAGUAGCUGGUCUGAGAGGAUGAUCAGCCACACUGGAACUGAGACACGGUCCAGACUCCUACGGGAGGCAGCAGUGAGGAAUUUUGCACAAUGGGGGAAACCCUGAUGCAGCGACGCCGUGUGUGUGAUGAAGGGGCUCUGCUCUGUAAAGCACUGUCAAUAGGGAAAAAAAGCGAGUAAGACUCGCUGGGAUUGUACCUAUAAAGGAAGGACCGGCUAACUACGUGCCAGCAGCCGCGGUAAUACGUAGGGUCCGAGCGUUGUCCGGAAUCACUGGGUGUAAAGGGUCCGCAGGCGGACCUGUGCGUCGAAAGUUAAAGAUCAAGGCUCAACCUUGGGAAUGCUUUCGAUACGGCAGGUCUUGAGUGUGAGAGAGGAAAGUAGAAUUCCUGGUGUAGCGGUGAAAUGCGUAGAUAUCAGGAGGAAUACCAGUUGCGAAGGCGGCUUUCUGGCUCAUCACUGACGCUCAUGGACGAAAGCGUGGGUAGCGAACAGGAUUAGAUACCCUGGUAGUCCACGCCCUAAACGAUGUAUGCUUGGGGUGUUAGAACGCAAGUUCUAGUGCCGGAGGUAACCCGUUAAGCAUACCACCUGGGGAGUACGAUCGCAAGGUUGAAACUCAAAGGAAUUGACGGGGGCCCGCACAAGCGGUGGAUCAUGUGGUUUAAUUCGAUGCAACGCGAAGAACCUUACCAAGGCUUGAAGUGCAGUGGACCGAUCCUGAAAGGGAUUUUUCUUUCGAGACUGCUGCAGAGGUGCUGCACGGCUGUCGUCAGCUCGUGCCGUGAGGUGUUGGGUUAAGUCCCGCAACGAGCGCAACCCCUAUCUUUAGUUGCCAUCAGGUUAAGCUGGGAACUCUAAAGAGACUGCCCGCGCAAGCGGUGAGGAAGGCGGGGACGACGUCAAGUCAUCAUGGCCCUUACGUCUUGGGCUACACACGUAAUACAAUGGCAGGCACAGAAGGCGAAGCCGCGAGGUGGAGAUAAUCCCAAAAGCCUGUCUCAGUUCGGAUCGGAGUCUGCAACUCGACUCCGUGAAGUUGGAAUCGCUAGUAAUCGCAGAUAGCUAUACCGCGGUGAAUAUGUUCCUGAGCCUUGUACACACCGCCCGUCAAGCCACGGAAGCUGGGGGCGCCCGAAGUCGCAAGCAAUUGCGCCUAAGGCGAACUUAGUGACUGGGGCU